rnacentral:lncRNA from 1 species
CAGAGAUUUGAGGGGUUGGUAAGCAGAGGCUUGGCCAUUGAAACUGACAGCCUUGGGCUAUGCCUGUCUGCAGUUGUCAGAUGUUUGACAUCUGGUUGCUUUAGAGACAGAUAGCAGAGUGGAGCACUUUAAUCCUUCACCUAAGCUAAAAAAAAAAAAAAAUUAGAAUGGAGAAAAAUAUACAAAAUAGGCCAUGACAACAGAGUCUGUCAGCAUCUGAGAUCCGCUCCUAAUUAACAGCAGUUCCCGUCCCAGAAAUCAUACCGUUCAGCAAAAGUUAAUCAUCUUUGCUCAUACAUACAAUGCUCUUCAAGAGGGAAUGAGUCACCCUCAUUGAAAUGUCUAAUGUUAUGAAAUCCAGUGUGACUGAUGUAAUAGACCCAGCUAAGCUCUCCAAAUUGGCUGGGAGCACCAACAGAAAUGCUCAGCCUGUGUGUAAGUUGACUUCAUUGAAUUUUUUGUGUUUGUACCCUGGCUGAGUUUAGCCUUUUGUAACUAAAACAAACUCACAGGGAACAGCCAAAGAAGGAGUUGGGUGAACCUGUGAUGAGGGGCAGUGGCAGAGGGACAGGCAGAGGCCAAGAGCAGUGGUACCACCAAGCCUAGCAAUCCUCCCGGCCUGGAGCUGUCUGUUCCCACCUUUGGGACAGAAUGGUAGCACUUGAAUCCCAGCAUUCUACAUAUGUAAGCAUUCACAAGCCUGGGUAUUUAUGCUCCAUUUCAUGGUUCAAAGAGGCUGAAUUCAGAGUUUAGAUCCUGCCCAGAUAUCAGCUGCUCCCUCUUAAUUUAAGUACUAUCACCUGCAAAUGUUUCCUUCAAGCACUGGGUGCUAUUUGCUUGGCGUCCUUUGUUUAAAUGUCACUGUAUGAAUCGCUGAACGUGAUUUAAAUAUUUAAAAUCAUGUGCCACAAAUCUAAUUCUAUUUUGAAAUACCAAGCCAGACUUGUAGCUGAUGCAACCAAUAACAACUCCGCCCAGCACCCCAGGUUCCUGUCCCAGUUCUUUAAUGAUUAGCAUUUCCAAUACCUUCCACUCAACAAAUCUGGGCUCUGAGAUUUCUUUUUCAGUGCACUACCACUCUGCCAAUAGCUUUUACUAGGCCUGAAUAUCCAUAGUUUCCAAGGAAAUAAUGUUCCCCUUGGGAAAUGCCACUGUCACCCAAGACAGUCCUUUCCUAACUUGCACAAGAAAAGCUUGGCUCCAUGGAAGUCAUAAUUUCUCCAGCUCCUGGCAACAGCCUACUCUGACGAGCUGUGCUUCCACCAGGGCUCCCUUCCACAUCCCUGCGACCACCUGGCUUGUGGGGCUUUAUGCUCAUGCCUCCAAAUGCCAUCUCCCACAGGUCUCCUAUUAUAAGGUCCAAGCUGCCUUCUAAUUGUGCAGCCUGCAACUCCCCAGAACAUUUCUUUUGCCACAUGCCCUCUCUGCUCCUUUCCAUCCAGGGAUGAUUCUUGCUUCUGCUCCCCAUAACGUGCUUAAAAGUUGCCUGGUCACUUCUCUCUCUGCCUGCUCUUGCCUUGCUGUUCAGACCAGAAGUUAAGGAACGGUGACAACAGGCACAACACAUCUGUGCAGCAAUAGCACGAUUUGCUUGCAGGAUCUGGUAGGCAAAUUGCCAAUGGUAAUGCUGGUGGAAGCUGGACUUGUACCUUAUGAGUGUCACAGCUAUUUCUUGCCAAUGCUUAGGUCAAGCUGUGUGAUAUUGGCGAGUAUCCUUCUUCUAAGGAUAGGAAAGGGGGAAGGGUCCUGCUCAGGACUGGGCCAGUGGGAAGAGUCCAGGCUUGUGGGACGUGGCCUGAUUUUCUCUGUGCUGAUCAUGUUCUUGCAGGUCAUAUAUGUGUAUCCAAGAGCUGUGAGUGUGCCCAGGAGUGUGCCCAGGCUGGACUAGUGACCAGAAGGGACAGCUGGGUUUGUUCACAGAAUAUUGCCUUUUGGAUAAGUGCACUGUGGAAGGGAGAAGGAGAGAAGUUUUCCCAAGAGACAUUUUGUAUUCAAACUAUUAUUAUUUUUGUUUUCCUGGAAACUAAUUUUAUGGGCUAAAACAGAGCUGGAUUCAGCUGAGCACUAGCAUUAACAACACUGUGAGGAAAACAGAGAACUCAUUUUCCAGUGCUCUGAAAGGGGAACCAGCCCCUUGCUCAUGAAAAACUUCUUGGAAAUGGCUUCUUAGGUUUUGUUCAGUCUUGUUUAUUCACAAUGAGGAGAAACAAACUCAGGAAAUAAAGCAUCUUCAGGGAUAUCUUGCAAAGCUUUGCAAUGAGAAGACAGGCAGUGAGCCGUAAGUGAGGACAGGAGGCUAUGUCUGACCAACAGUAGGCACCAAAAACCAUCCAAACCAAGGCUGUGAAAAACAGUUGACUUUAACACCACACACACAGAGAAGGGGCAGAAUCAUGCAGGCUUCUUCCACAGUAUCUCUGCAUCAAACAAGGAUUUAAUCGGAGCACUUUACGGUUUCAUCCAUAGGCAGAGGUGUGGUGCACCAGCACAUUCCUGGGUGCAAUGCCAAUCUUGUUAGAGCGUACAACCCCAAUAGCUCUGCCAAAGCCACCAGGGCUGCUUUGGCUGCAACCCAUGCAGGAACACACUGAGGAGCCGUGGCUGCCCAGCUGUGCCAGGGAAGAGGUCCUGCCCCCGUAUUUGGUCACCCUGCUUGAAAUCAAACCCAGCAAGGCAGUGAGAAGGCAGCAGAUCCCAAGUGCUGCUCAGCCAGUCUGGCCAAGUCAGGGUUUUCCCAUACAUCUGUUCCCCUUGCUCCAGGCCUGCAUCCUGGCAGCAGCCUGGGAGGGAUGAGCAAUCAAAUCUCACCCCAUCAGCAAGGGUGGGGAAAAGUUGGGGAAGCAAAGCCAGGAGCCCGAGCUCAUUUACAAAAGUUCCUGAUGAGUGAUGAAGCCACUUUCACAAUUGUUUCCAGUAAAAAACCUGCACCAGAAAGCUUGCCACUUAGCCUCCUUGAAAAUAAAUAUUUCUCUGCAGGAAAUUGCUUCUUGCAAACAGCCAGGAUGCCUGGGAGAAACCGCCAAGGAACUGACGUGUGUGGAGGGUGGGUGGUCAUGUAUGCCUAAGCCUGUAGAGCUGGGAGGUGGUGGGGAUACAAAUGGGAGAGAGAGGAGGCACUUGGAGAGCACCAUGGGGUCUUUCGGUUGUUCCUCUCUGCCUGCCUGCCUGCUUACUAAGAGCAGCCUUCUCCUAUCAUACAAAAUGAGGAAUCAUUAGAAAUGAGGUACACAGACAUAUAUAAAAUUACAUGUUGUGUAUUUUGUGCCCAUCUGGUUGAAUUGGAGGCUGUCCUCCUGGCUGGAGGACUAUCUCAUCUUUCUUCCUUUCUCUGCUGGGUUUUAUAGGAAGUCUUGGGGACAUCCCAAGCUGUCAUUUAGCCACUUGUCCCCAGAAGCAGUGUGAAAAAAAGCUGGGCUAAUAUUUCCUGGAUAAAUUAGAUUUUGGCUCUGCAGAUUGGAUUUUUUUCAUUUUUACUUUUAUUAAAUUUUUUUAUUAUUUUUUGCAAACAGGCAGAAGCAAACCCUUCUCUGCAAAAAUGUGGAGGUUUCCUCAAACUGAAGCUGGAGCCAGGCUCUUCUUGGGUGCCCAGUGAAAGGGCAAGAGGCAAUGAGAACAAAUUGAAAACACUUCUUCUCUUUUAGGGUAGACCAACAUCAUCAGGUUGCCCAGAGAGGGUGUGGAGUCUCCAUGCUCAGAGAUAUUGGUAUACUCAACUGGGAUGAGGUCCUGCUCUAGAAGACCUCACUAUGAUGCUCUCCAGAGGGACCUCCAGCCUCAGUCUGUAACCACUGGCAGUCGUUUAUAGAAAAACUGAGUUCUUGGAGUCUUGUUUUUUGCUGUGAAAGCAUUUAAAGUGAAGAUAACGUCAACUUCUCCCAUAGGCUGCAGCACUCUGUACAGCUUUGCUUUUCCAUGGCAGUCGCCAAGCUUCUAGUUGUACCUGGAGAGACAUGCACGGUGGGCAAGGCAAGAACCAGCCCAAGGGGAAGGCUCCUACCCUCAGCCUCCUUUGGAAGGCCAAAAUCUGGGCACAGAUUUUCACUGGAGCUCUUCAGGUGGUUUCUUAACCUUGAAGAUGCUUUCCAUGUCUGAUGAGGGGCAAAGUUGAUGACAAAAAAAGAGUCAGGUGGAUGACAGGGAUGGAGAGCCACGGGGAUCAAGUGUAAUCUGCAAAAGGAGGAACACCAGUAGAGACUGCACAGUGUGAAGACACUGGGAGGCUGCAUGUGCUCUGCCUGCACCUCCUCUUAAACAGGAGGGGUUGGGUACCUUCCUUCUGCAGACUUUGCAGUGGGGCUGUGCAAGGAACAGGGAAAUCUCUUCCCACUUCCAAGAGAGAUGCCUUCAAAUUCACAGGCACUGCUGCACAGGGGUGGCUUUGCUGCAGAAAGCAGAGCACAGCAUGUCCUCCCGCUUAGUGCCUGUGGGUGAGGUGCUUUACCAGGCCCAAGUCAUUUGACAUUGUUCUAGUGGGUGUCUGAAGCUAAUGAAUCCAGAUUAGGUAGUGCGGAGGCUGGGGAGCUAGAUUUCUGCUGAAUAUACAUAAAGGCAAAUAUGAAUUCUAAAACUUUAAGGGAGUAUUUCUACCCUGGCUCAGUGCUAAUGGUUGAUAAAAAUAGUCACAAAUUAGUGCAGGAAUAGGAAGAAAAUUCGGGCUUUGUCUUUUUUUUUUUUUUAAACUGCUAAAACCGGACAUCUAUUUUUCUACCAGGAGUUAAUUUCUUACAUGCAAUAAUAAAGCAUGGAGUAAACUAUCAACAUGUGCCCUUCCCUGGCAGAAUAACUCCCACCUCAAUUAAGUAAAUAGGAGGAGGAACUGAAGUUAAAUUAAAAAAAAAAAAAAUCCUUUGUAUUGAAAAAAAUAAAGGUGAUUAAAUCAGAAAUUCAGCUCCGCAAGGAGGAUGUGAGCAUCAGGUUAACCCUUCUGUCUGGUUCCCUAGCACCUGAGUGCUUGCAGAGGUAAUGAGGAGGCAACUCGCUCUACUCUACAGAUGGGAAAACUGCAGUACAGAAAACAGCAAUUUCACUGAAUGUCACAGAGCAAAGCAGAAGUCACCCUGGUGAUUCAGAUGACUUCUGAGCCAAUUCCCAGCUGAAAUACAGCCCACACAAUGCUGCUUGGAGCACUCAUGGUUGAACUGCCAAGGAGGAGCAUCCUCUCUGGGUACUGAUGGAUGUGUGGCCACAGGCAGGUGAGGGCACUUGCUGAAAGGAGCCCAGUAGCUUUAUGAAUUAAUAUCUGGACAGUGAAUAAUACCUGGUACGUGAUAUUAGAUGUUGAAACCAGCAGACUGAGCAGUGAGAAGAUGAGCCCUUGGGAGAUUUAGCAGAUACAGCCCAGAGCUGCUGGGUGCAGAGCUGACUUAACGUAUGAGACUGGAACGAAAACCCUUUUAGGGUGCAAUGCUGUUGAAAAAGUACAUACUAAAAAGAAAAGAAAAACAAAAACAAAGAAAGAUGUGUUUUUCAGAAGUUCAUUUUUAAGAAUAAAAUGUUACUUAACUGACCCGCUUCUGACUGCUUUAGUCUUCAAAUGUUUAGAAAUCCUAUCCCACACCUAAGCUGCAUACAAUCAUAGAAUCAUAGAUUCAUUAAGGUUGAAAAAGGCCACUAAGAUCAUCUGGUCCAACUGCCAACCUAUCACUACCAUCCACACUCAUGUCACUCAGUGCCAUAUCUACACCAAACUUGAAAACCUUCAGGGAUGGUGACUUCACCACUUCACUGGGCAGAGUGUUCCAAUAUCUUGCCACUCUUUUUGAUAAGAAGUUCUUCCUAAUGUCCAAACUGAAUCUUCUCUGGCAUAACUUGAGGCCAUUCC